UACGUAGGGCGCGAGCGUUGUCCGGAUUUACUGGGCGUAAAGAGCGCGCAGGCGGUCGUUCAAGUCGAGUGUGAAAGCCCCCGGCUCAACUGGGGAGGGUCACUCGAUACUGAUCGACUCGAAGGCAGGAGAGGGAAGUGGAAUUCCCGGUGUAGUGGUGAAAUGCGUAGAUAUCGGGAGGAACACCUGUGGCGAAAGCGGCUCACUGGACCAUAACUGACGCUGAGGCACGAAAGCUAGGGGAGCAAACAGG
rnacentral:rRNA from 1 species